UGAGGAAUAUUGGUCAAUGGACGAGAGUCUGAACCAGCCAAGUCGCGUGAAGGAAGACGGUUCUAUGAAUUGUAAACUUCUUUUGUGCAGGAAUAAAGUGGGUUACGUGUAACCUUUUGUAUGUACUGUACGAAUAAGGAUCGGCUAACUCCGUGCCAGCAGGCGCGGUAAUACGGAGGAUCCGAGCGUUAUCCGGAUUUAUUGGGUUUAAAGGGUGCGUAGGUGGAUUGAUAAGUCAGCGGUGAAAGUUUGCAGCUUAACUGUAAAAUUGCCGUUGAAACUGUCGGUCUUGAGUGCAAAUGAGGUAGGCGGAAUGUGUUGUGUAGCGGUGAAGUGCUUAGAUAUAACACAGAACUCCGAUUGCGAAGGCAGCUUACUGGGAUGCAACUGACACUGAUGCACGAAAGCGUGGGUAUCAAACAGGAUUAGAUACCCUGGUAGUCCACGCAGUAAACGAUGAAUACUAGCUGUAUGCGAUA
rnacentral:rRNA from 1 species